GCUUAGCUCUGAUCGUGCCGCCUGUUCCCCCGCCGCAUCUCCGGUCAGCGGAGACGGAGCCUGGGACGGGACGAACUUCGGGCCGCUCCCCCGGGCCGGAGACCCGCGGAUGAAGGGAAGAUGACCCGCGAUCGCUUGCCGGGCGUCCCUCCGCCAGCCCGCCGGGAACCGGGGCGUGUGGGCCGGGCCCAGCGUGCGUGCCCCGGAACAGGAUUCAGUGACUCCGGGAUGUGUUACUUCUUGUCAGAGACGGUUCGGGACCGGGGACCGACAACCAGAUCUUUUUCGGGUAAACCUUCCAUUUGUACCAUGUGCUACUUCCCAAGCCUCCGCCUACGACUCGUCCGCUAGUCCAAGGGAGACUCCGGCUUCGUGAUUUCACCAGGUCCCUCAGCACCACCCUCUGUCUUCGUCACACCCUGAGUACCCUCCCUGUCGCUUGUUUUGCCCGUCUGGAAUCUCCCGGUUAACAUGGGUGCCCAGUGCUCUCCUGACAUCCCAAGUCCAUGGUUGCUGUGGUCAGGGGACCCACUGCUCACCAGACGUGGCUGCUUAUAAAGCUUGUCCGACAGCCGGAGAAAGGAUUUCAGCUCCGAGGAAGAGGGGGUGAUACAAAGAGCCGGUUAGGGUGGGGGGGAAGCGCUGUCCUCCAGGGAGGCUCAUGGCUGAGGAAGCCAGGUUGUGUUAAAAGGACAGUAUGAUUUAAAGUGCAGCUUAGAGCAAAGUCUGGGGUCUGGGAGGAGAAUCAAAAAGGUUAAGGCAGAACAUGUCCUUAUUUUGUUAUGCAAGAAUCUGAGUCUGGGGGCCUAGAAUGGACAGCGGGGCACUCGGGAGAGAGGAUUUCCCUCAGGAGGGACACAGCCGUGCACAGAAGAAACUAGCACAGGAUGGCUUGCUGAUGGAGAAGGUACACGCACACACACAAACACACACACACGCACACUCCAGUAUUUUGGGCCCUUACACACAGAAAGAAAUCAGGUAAGUCUAACGUUGAAUAAAGUCGAGAGCCCAGAAACUGGCUCUUUGCCUUCUGUUCUCUGUAUCAGAUUUUCAAGUUUUUCUGGUUCUCGUUUUCUUGAGAGCUAGGGAGCGUUGGUGGGGUUUACGGUCAGGGAAGAACGAAGGGUCUUCAGUUUCAAAACGGAGUUGAGUUCAAGGAGAGCUGCGUAGAAGAGGGCCUGGUGCAGUCGCGUGAGCCGUGACCACAGGUCCAGCCUCAGAACCGCACGUUUCUCCGAAGCUCGGCACGCAGACGCGUGUCCACGGCCUGUGCGAGUGUUGGAGCUCGUAACGGUUGGCUGAGUCCACCUUAACAAACUGCCACUGCAUUCGCACGAGGACUCUAUGCCAAGCCACCGUGGGGGCACGGGGGCAGUUCCUUGGCACCUAAAUGAGACCAGGAGGCACUCUUGGGGUUUGGGGCUUUAGAGAACGUUCUGGUGCCCAAACGCCCUUCUUGGCCCCUCCCACAGUCCCCACCAGGGAACAAGGACUGGCCUGAGGUUGAUCUAAAGCGUACCCUUUAACUUCUUCCUCUUCACGGCAGAGGGGAGUGGAGAUGGGACCGGUGCCCACUUUGCCCAAGUCUCAGGAAUGGCUCAGGGAGACCCCGGUGGUUGGGUCAGGAAGUAUAGUCUCCCUCCCUCCCAGCACUGCCUAGUGAAACAGCUGACACUUCAGAAGGGUGACAGGGAGAAUGGUGUCCACCAGCCAGAGUUCUGCCCCAGCCCAAACCCUAAUAAAGCGCCCCCAAUUCCCAGAGGCUCCACACAGCAGUCUGGAGGUCUGAGAAUGUACUCAUCCUGCAUGGUAGGGUUAAUGUCGCUUUCCUUGGGAAUCUGUGCCCUGUAAGUACCUGGAACACCAUUUCCAGACCUUUCCGUGGGGGUUGGGAACAUACCGGCAAGGGCCAUCCCAUCCACGGGUCACAGGAGACAGAUCCCCCCCCAGGGCUGUCUGGAGGAUAGGGUCAGGGCUUUGGACUAGGGCUCUGCAUUCGUCACUCCACACCGAAGGGUUCAGAUUCCGGGAUGGGCGCACGUCGACCUCUAUUCUCUGAGAGAAGAGGCGGCUUUGUGAGAAAACUGGGUAUCCUAAGACAGGGUCCACUGGAGAAGAUAGAAAGAGGAAAACGGGGGUGACCAAGGUUCUAGUCAGAAUGUGCCAGCAGAAAUUACGCUAUGAGAGACCCUGACUCCUUUCAACAGGGGUUGGUAGAGAACCCAGGAUCAAUUAAUUCCAGAUUCCCGUAUUUCUGAGGGCGCGGACUCCAAAACAACCAUCAGAGUCUUGCCUUAGGGAACUAGCUGGGUGGGAAAUUAGAGGCGGGUGGGGGCUCCGGCCCCAGGUCACCAAACUUCACGGUGGUGGUGGUGGC